rnacentral:lncRNA from 1 species
GAAUUCGACUGGAUUGUUUUUUUAUGUGUACCUAUGUAUCGCUAUUUCUUUGCAGAUUGUGAACCGAUUUUGAUAAUUUUUAUUAUUGGAUAGGCUAUAUCUUAAGGAAGGACGGAAAACAAUUUUUUUUUGUAUUGUUUAUUGUCCUAUUUCUAAAGUAGAUCUCUUUGUCUCAUAUUUAAAUAAUUUAUAUUCCAGAACAUCCGUAAUUCAAUUUAGAAGCAUUAUUUUCUUCUGUAAUGCUCUCUUUUUAAGUUUCCACUGUCUCUCUCGCUCUUGUAUUCAGUUAAUUUUGGAGUUGUGAUCAGGCGAUUUAAACCGUCGCAGAAGUUUAAUUUGAUGCUUCUGAUUGGCGUUUUAUACGCGUCAUCAGCGCUUCAUGCAGUAGCUUUCGCAAUUUCAAGAAACGGAAACGGGUUCGGUCUUUUAUAAGUUGUUAGUGGUUCGUAGCGGUUGGAUGUUUUCUUCGCAUCUUUUAAAUUCUACUUCCCGAGCUAAUUUUUUUCUACGUGUAACACCCUGAAAGAUUAAAUUGAUUGAUUCAUAUUGUAUAUUAUUAUUUUCCGCAAUUAUCCACAGAGUAAAUUAAAUUUUUCGCGUAAUAGACGUUUCUUUGAAUUUUAUGCAUCUAUGAGAGAAGACACGCCUCAUCGCCAUUUUAAAAGUAAGAAGUUUACAAUUUUACUUGCUUUUUUAUUUAAGAUAAAUGAGUGAGGAGAUUGAAAUUUAUUUUGAUGCUACUGAAAAAGCAAGUCGUCUCGUGUGGUGUUUUAUCUGUUAUCAUCUUGGAGACUUGUAGUUAAUUAAGGAACAUUGUAAAACUCCACAUGCCAUUUAAAUUAAGGAGAAUCGGUUGUAUCAAUUCCCAUUUGCUAGAGAAAGUAUAUGUGUACUUAUGGUCUUAAAGAAAGCAUGGAAGUGCCUUUUUUCCAUUGGGACAUUGUCAUUGUGCUAUUGCUGUAGGAAGGAUUCGUGACAUUGAAUUGAUUGUUGUAACAAAUUAGAAGGAAUUGGUGCUACUGAAACAACCGAUGCUUUUGAUGUUUUCAACUUGCAACAUUAUGCAGUUAAUUUUAACCCUGAGAAUGGGAGGCAGUUGGAAAUUAAUUUGGAAACCAGUGAAACAACAAAUCUUCUGCAAUGGUAUCCUUCCUAGAUUUGAUUUGCUCAACACACUGAUGAACUUUAGGACACUACCUUUUAUAGUUAACUAAGGAACGUUGGAAGAACUCCAGAUUCUGUUAAAUUGUGGAACAUUGGUUGUCUCAGUCGUCAAUCGCUUCAGAAAGUAGCUGUGGCUGUGGUCCUAAAAAAAGCAUAAAAAUGCCAUUUUUCCAUUGAUAACGGAUACAGUGUGCUGUUACUGAAGAAAAGAUUUAUGACAAUGAACUGAUUGUAACAAAUUAGAAGGAAUUGGUGCUACUGAAACAACCGAUGCUUUUUGAUGUUUUCAUCUUGCAACAUUGUGCAGUUAGUUUUGGCCCUGUGAAUGGGAGGCAAUUGGAAAUUAAUUUGGAAGCCACUGAAAAAACAAAUUGUCUGCAGUGGUAGACUUUAGAACGCUACUUUCUACAGUUAGUUAAGUUCAAAUUGACUGGUGCAUCUGUGGAAUUUUAAUAAUUAUCUAUGGUCUACAUGUUAUCGUGCAUCUGUGAUUAUUUCACAUAUAUAUGUCAAAUUUGGUCUGUCAUGUGAACUUGACGCUUGUCUCCAUUUUAUAAUUCAGCUGUUUUAUUUGGUUUUUGGUGCGUGUUUUUAGGAUCGUCAACAAAUGAGAGGGAGUUAUAUUCAGUUUGGUUGUACUGAAACAACCAUUGUCUACAUUGGGUGUGGUCUUCGGUGAACUAUAUUCUUGAUUUGCUGUUUCGUCUUCGCUUUGCAUCAUUAUGCAGUUAGUUUUGAACAGAUGAGUGAGAGCAACUGGAUAUUUAUCUGAAUUCCACUGAAAUGACAACUUUUCUGCAUUGACAUUACUCCUGGAUUUGGUUCGCACCUGCAAACUUUGGAAUAUUACAGUUUACAGUUACUUCAGAUCGUUUAACAAAUGAGAGGGAGUUGAAGUUCAUUUUGGUUGUACUGAAACAACCAUUGUCUACAUGGGUGUGGUCUUUGGUGAACUACAUUCUUGACUUGCUGUUUUCGUCUUCGCUUUGCAUCAUUAUGCACUUGGUUUCGAAUUGAUGAGUGAGAGCAAGUGGAUGUUUAUUUGAUUUCCACUGAAAUAAGGAAUUUUCUGCAUUGGCAUUAUUCCUGGAUUUGAUUUGCCUUUCACACUUGCAAACUUUGGAACAUUACAGUCUACAGUUAAUUAAGGUGUGAAUACUUGAUAUAAUUAAUUUUAAUUGCUCUUUAUU